rnacentral:rRNA from 1 species
GGGUUGUGAGGUUAAGCGACUAAGCGUACACGGUGGAUGCCUAGGCAGUCAGAGGCGAUGAAGGGCGUGCUAAUCUGCGAUAAGCGUCGGUAAGCUGAUAUGAAGCGUUAUACCCGACGAUACCCGAAUGGGGAAACCCAGUGUGUUUCGACACACUAUCAUUAACUGAAUACAUAGGUUAAUGAGGCGAACCGGGGGAACUGAAACAUCUCAGUACCCCGAGGAAAAGAAAUCAACCGAGAUUCCCCCAGUAGCGGCGAGCGAACGGGGAGGAGCCCAGAACCUGAAUCAGUUUGUGUGUUAGUGGAAGCGUCUGGAAAGUCGCACAGUAAAGGGUGAUAGUCCCGUACACAAAAAUGCACAAGUUGUGAGUUCGAUGAGUAGGGCGGGACACGUGACAUCCUGUCUGAAUAUGGGGGGACCAUCCUCCAAGGCUAAAUACUCCUGACUGACCGAUAGUGAACCAGUACCGUGAGGGAAAGGCGAAAAGAACCCCGGCGAGGGGAGUGAAAUAGAACCUGAAACCGUGUACGUACAAGCAGUGGGAGCCUACUUGUUAGGUGACUGCGUACCUUUUGUAUAAUGGGUCAGCGACUUAUAUUCUGUAGCAAGGUUAACCGUAUAGGGGAGCCGCAGGGAAACCGAGUCUUAACUGGGCGUUAAGUUGCAGGGUAUAGACCCGAAACCCGGUGAUCUAGCCAUGGGCAGGUUGAAGGUUGGGUAACACUAACUGGAGGACCGAACCGACUAAUGUUGAAAAAUUAGCGGAUGACUUGUGGCUGGGGGUGAAAGGCCAAUCAAACCGGGAGAUAGCUGGUUCUCCCCGAAAGCUAUUUAGGUAGCGCCUCGUGAACUCAUCUUCGGGGGUAGAGCACUGUUUCGGCUAGGGGGUCAUCCCGACUUACCAACCCGAUGCAAACUACGAAUACCGAAGAAUGUUAUCACGGGAGACACACGGCGGGUGCUAACGUUCGUCGUGAAGAGGGAAACAACCCAGACCGCCAGCUAAGGUCCCAAAGUCAUGGUUAAGUGGGAAACGAUGUGGGAAGGCAUAGACAGCCAGGAUGUUGGCUUAGAAGCAGCCAUCAUUUAAAGAAAGCGUAAUAGCUCACUGGUCGAGUCGGCCUGCGCGGAAGAUGUAACGGGGCUAAACCAUGCACCGAAGCUGCGGCAGCGACACUUAGGUGUUGUUGGGUAGGGGAGCGUUCUGUAAGCCGUCGAAGGUGGCCUGUGAGGGCUGCUGGAGGUAUCAGAAGUGCGAAUGCUGACAUAAGUAACGAUAAUGCGGGUGAAAAACCCGCACGCCGGAAGACCAAGGGUUCCUGUCCAACGUUAAUCGGGGCAGGGUGAGUCGACCCCUAAGGCGAGGCUGAAAAGCGUAGUCGAUGGGAAACAGGUUAAUAUUCCUGUACUCGGUGUUACUGCGAAGGGGGGACGGAGAAAGCUAGGUUAUCCGGGCGACGGUUGUCCCGGUUUAAGCGUGAAGGUGGAUGACUUUGGUAAAUCCGGGUCAUUAUUAACACUGAGGCGUGAUGACGAGUCACUACGGUGAUGAAGUAACCGAUGCUACGCUUCCAGGAAAAGCCUCUAAGCUCCAGGUAACAUCAAAUCGUACCCCAAACCGACACAGGUGGUCAGGUAGAGAAUACUCAGGCGCUUGAGAGAACUCGGGUGAAGGAACUAGGCAAAAUGGUGCCGUAACUUCGGGAGAAGGCACGCUGAUGGUAGGUGAAGUGACUUGCUCAUGGAGCUGAAAUCAGUCGAAGAUACCAGCUGGCUGCAACUGUUUAAUAAAAACACAGCACUGUGCAAACACGAAAGUGGACGUAUACGGUGUGACGCCUGCCCGGUGCCGGAAGGUUAAUUGAUGGGGUCAGCCGCAAGGCGAAGCUCUUGAUCGAAGCCCCGGUAAACGGCGGCCGUAACUAUAACGGUCCUAAGGUAGCGAAAUUCCUUGUCGGGUAAGUUCCGACCUGCACGAAUGGCGUAAUGAUGGCCAGGCUGUCUCCACCCGAGACUCAGUGAAAUUGAACUCGCUGUGAAGAUGCAGUGUACCCGCGGCAAGACGGAAAGACCCCGUGAACCUUUACUAUAGCUUGACACUGAACCUUGAGCCUUGAUGUGUAGGAUAGGUGGGAGGCUUUGAAGCGUGGACGCCAGUCUGCGUGGAGCCAACCUUGAAAUACCACCCUUUAAUGUUUGAUGUUCUAACGU